AUUGAACGCUGGCGGAAUGCUUUACACAUGCAAGUCGAACGGUAGAGGGGGCAACCCCUCGAGAGUGGCGAACGGGUGAGUAAUAUAUCGGAACGUGCCCAGUCGUGGGGGAUAACGUAGCGAAAGUUACGCUAAUACCGCAUACGAUCUAAGGAUGAAAGCGGGGGAUCGCAAGACCUCGCGCGAUUGGAGCGGCCGAUAUCAGAUUAGGUAGUUGGUGGGGUAAAGGCACACCAAGCCAACGAUCUGUAGCUGGUCUGAGAGGACGACCAGCCACACGGGAACUGAGACACGGUCCAGACUCCUACGGGAGGCAGCAGUGGGGAAUUUUGGACAAUGGACGCAAGUCUGAUCCAGCCAUUCCGCGUGCAGGAUGAAGGCCCUCGGGUUGUAAACUGCUUUUGUACGGAACGAAAAGGUCUCUCUUAAUACGGGGGACUCAUGACGGUACCGUAAGAAUAAGCACCGGCUAACUACGUGCCAGCCGCCGCAGUAA
rnacentral:rRNA from 1 species